UACGGGGGGGGGCAAGCGUUGUUCGGAAUUACUGGGCGUAAAGGGCUCGUAGGCGGCCAACUAAGUCGGAUGUGAAAUCCCCAGGCUCAACUUGGGAACUGCAUCCGAUACUGGAUGGCUUGAAUUCGGGAGAGGGAUGCAGAAUUCCAGGUGUAGCGGUGAAAUGCGUAGAUAUCUGGAGGAAUACCGGUGGCGAAGGCGGCAUCCUGGACCGACAUUGACGCUGAGGCGCGAAAGCGUGGGGAGCAAACAGGG
rnacentral:rRNA from 1 species